AUGAAAAAUCUUCUUUCCGGCCGCGAGGAGCCGAGGACGGCGGCCUCCAUGCGCCGUCUUUUCGUCGCGGCAUGGUCGCACCUCCUUAUCUCCUUCCUCCUCGUCGCGCCACAGUCAAAGGCGGCGUCAAGCUUCGGCGCCACCGCUGGCCGCCCAGAGUGGCAGGUCUUGACCAGGGCUAACUUCUCCUCCCAGAUCCGGCUCCACCCCCACAUCCUCCUCGUCGUCACCAUGCCAUGGUAUGGUGAGUCAAGAUCACUGAUGGCCGAAAUACAGCAGCUGGUCGCAACCGAGGAGAUGGAGCUAGGUCGCCUUAAGUUGAUGGUUGUGUACAGAAAUUCUGAGAAGUUGCUGUCGGAUGCUAUUGGUGCAACUGAAGGAACAAAGUUCAUAUACUACCAACAAUCCAUACAGUUCAAAUAUCAAGGAAAGCUUCGUGCACGUGAUAUAUUGUAUUCAGUACGACAUAUCAUGUCACUUAAGCACGAGGAGGCCCCUUUUGUGGCUUUGCAUACAAAAGAUGAUGUGGAGGAGUUUAUUCAAUCAACUGACAGAGCUGUACUUCUGUCCGAGUUCUGUGGUUGGUUUACUCGAUUGGCUAGUGACAGAAGCAACAGAAGCAGUGGGGUCACUCCAUCAAAAACUCACGCAGAGAAUGUUGACGUUUCUGGGAAGACAGUGACCAGACAAUCAGAUGGGCGUCUAGAGCUUGUUAUAGAAGAUGAUGAACUGACCUUUGGAGGUGGGAGUCAGCUUACUGGUUCUCCUUGGAAAGGUGGAUUUACCACAGCAAAUCAAAGUGUCUCAGAUCACAUUAGAAUAUCAACUGAUGAAAAUAGUAAGUUGUGCACAGUGCAAAAGUUCCAACAGUUUGAAAGCUUCUAUGCAAAGCUUACUGCCCUGUCAAGAGAACACUUUCUUCCUCCGGAGAAAGUUAGAUUUGGCCUUGUUACUGAAAAAUUACCAUUAUCUUCAUUGGAUAUUGCCAAUGCAAGCAAUUCAGAGACGUGGUUCCUCAGUGUUCAUUAUCUGGGAUGCACAUCCUGUUCAGUUAUAGCAAAAGAGGAGGAUGACCUAAGAAGCCUGCUGCAAUCCUAUCAUAAUCUUGACGUUAAAGAGAUUGAUACUGAUGCGAGUGGCGGCGAGGUUACGUUUCCUGCAAAUAGGCCCUCAGCUAUUCUAUUUAUCAAUAGAUUAUCUGAUUCCUUAAAAAUUAGAGAUGAAAGCAAGUUAUCUCUCAAGUUACUACGAGAGUAUGCUCAGAAAAAUUAUCCACCUUAUGUCAUUUCUGGUGAUCUAAAUAGUGGUAACUCCAGAAUGCGCACAAAAGCGGAUCCUUCUGCACUGAGCACAAGUAAGUCAGAUGGCCACUCUGGGACAGCUAGGUUGCAUGAUUUGGCCUCGAAGUAUAUGGAUUUAGGUGAGAAAAUGUCAGUAAUGGUUGUUAGAGAUGGAGAAAGUAUUUCAUACAGAAGUGCUAGCGAAGGUAGUACUAAUAGUCCUUUAUAUGAAAUUUUAACAAAACUGAUUCACAAAACAAGAUCAGCACAUAGGUCAAAGAAAACAAGGAUAAGUUUUGUAACAAAAAAUGAUGAUCUAAAGUUGCUGUCUGACGAUCCUGAGGUCCAAGUGGUGGAUUCCGUGUCAAUUCAAGAAAGUCAAAGAAUGGAUGAUUUAUUUGCCAGCUCAGAGAGUGUCAAUGAUGGUAUCGCUGAAGUUUCUGUGCAUGAAAACAACAAGGCAACAAAAGUUGAAUAUAUUGAUGAUGGACAAACACCGACUAUACUUGAGAAAACUCCUGCACACUACUGUGGUAUCAAUGAUAAUGAUCUUCAUUGUAGUGAUACAGAAAUGGAGGAACAACAAGCCGUCGAGGCCUCUGAUGUAAGCCCUGAUCUUCGGGAAGAGGCCUCCAUUGAUGUGCAUAGCAGCAAUGAAGUUCAUGGCAAGUUACAAAAGCACAGAGAUGAGAAAAUUGUUACAGAAGUUCUGGACUUUUUGGAACCUGAUGGCAGAAAAGCGAACUCUAACAAAGAGAAAUCAGGAUUGCCAAAUCAGCAAGAUGUAUUUUCAGUCCUGAGUCAAGAAUCUGAAAGAAUUGAAAAUUUCAUUUCCGAGGAUGAUUUGUUUAAUAUAGAUGAAGAAUCAGAAAAAGGUGACAGCAAAUUUUCUCCACGUGCAACAUUUAGCUCUUCCAGCAUCCUUGCAAGUGACAACACUGAAUAUACGGAGCAGGUAACUUCAAGUAUAUCAGAUAACCACUUUGUUGGUUCAUUCUUCUUUUCUGAUGGUGGUCAUAGGCUUCUGAGAACUUUAACUGGUGGAUCAAGAAUGCCAUCCCUGGUAAUAAUUGAUCCAGUUCAACAAAAGCAUUACGUCUUUCCUCAGGAAAGUGAAUUUAGCUACCCUUCCUUGGCAAUUUUUUUUGAUAGUUUUGUGAAUCGAAGUCUUUCUCCAUAUUAUCGUUCAGCCUCAUCUGUCAUAAGUUCAAAGGAGCUUCCAAGGCCGCCUUUGGUCAAUCAAGAUUUCCACGAGGCAAAUUCUAUCCCUCUCUUGACAGCAAGUAGUUUUUGUCGCUUGGUCUUUGGAUUUGAAGGUUGUGAUUCAAAAAAUGAAACGCCAUUUUUGAAUACUGCAACUCUUGGUGUUGCUUGGAAGAAGGAUGUGCUGGUGUUGUUCAGCAACUCCUGGUGUGGGUUUUGCCAGAGAACAGAGCUUGUUGUCCGUGAAUUGCACCGAUCAUUCAAAAGUUAUAUGAGUUUGAAUUCUCAGUUUGCGAAGGCUCAAGGUUUGCAGACUGAAGAGAAUGGAGGAGACUUGGGCCUUCCAACUAUUUACAUGAUGGACUGCACAGCAAAUGAUUGCCAUCAUUUACUAAAAUCAGCAGACAAGGAGGAGCUUUAUCCUACGGUGUUGCUUUUCCCGGCAGAGAACAAAAGCGCAAUAUCAUAUGGAGGAGGAAUGUCUUUGGGUAAUUUAAUUGAAUUUCUGGAGUCGCAUGCGAGCAAUUCUCGCCAUAUGUCGGAAUAUAAAGGAUUUCUGCGAAAGAAGAGGAUGGUAAUGCAACAUGAAGCACCGCAGACUGUCCGGUUUCACAUGAAGGACAAGAGCGGCAGCAAUGUUGGUUCCGAUCCGCCAAGUCAACCUGAAAAGCGCAAGGUGCAUAUCGUCACGGGGUCCAUCCUCGACGCCACCGAAAAGCUUGGUGCUGCAGUUCCAUUCGAUAAUGCUCGAGUGCUCAUUGUAUCGACUGAUUCUCACGAGGGAUUUCAUGGACUAAUCAUCAACAAAAGGUUAAGCUGGGACACCUUAAAGAACCUGGACAGCUCCCUGGAGCCUAUCAAACUUGCCCCUCUCUUCUACGGCGGACCUGUUGUGGUGCAGGGUUACCACCUUGUGAGUUUGUCCAGAGCCGCCCUGGAGGGCUACAAACCAGUCAUACCCGACCUCUAUUAUGGAAACAUAAUUGCUACAGGCCGGGUAAUCGCAGGGAUCAGGGCGGGCGAGCAAUCUGCCGAGGACCUGUGGUUUUUCCUCGGCUACGCUGGUUGGGGUUACAGCCAACUGUUUGACGAGCUAUCUGAAGGAGCGUGGCACGUUAGUGCAGGGCCGAUCAGGCACUUGGAAUGGCCAGACAGUUAG
rnacentral:rRNA from 1 species